rnacentral:tRNA from 1 species
GGGCUCAUGAGGUAGUGGAUAGCCUGAUGGCCUUCGGAGCCAUAUGCCGGGGUUCGAAUCAGCCUUUUUCUUUUCUCUAAGAGAGAAAAGAAAAACGUUGGCGAAAAAGAAAAGAGAACGGCAGUUGCUCUGCAACUGUCUAUGCCUACCACAGGUAGGCAGUUUUUCUUCUUUUCCGCCAGUCGCUUUUCAAGGGCUGUCGAAAAUCCCCGUGAGCCCA